rnacentral:rRNA from 1 species
GUGUCAGCAGCCGCGGUAAUACGGAAGGUCCGGGCGUUAUCCGGAUUUAUUGGGUUUAAAGGGAGCGUAGGCCGCUUUGUAAGCGUGUUGUGAAAUUUGCCGGCUCAACCGGUAACUUGCAGCGCGAACUGCAGAGCUUGAGUGUGCGCAACGUUGGCGGAAUUCGUCGUGUAGCGGUGAAAUGCUUAGAUAUGACGAAGAACUCCGAUUGCGAAGGCAGCUGACGGGAGCACUACUGACGCUGAAGCUCGAAAGUGCGGGUAUCGAACAGGAUUAGAUACCCUGGUAGUCCGCACGGUAAACGAUGGAUGCCCGCUGUUUGCACAUAGUUGCAAGCGGCCAAGCGAAAGCGUUAAGCAUCCCACCUGGGGAGUACGCCGGCAACGGUGAAACUUAAAUGAAUUGACGGGG